CACUCAGCUUUCUGAAAUGGUGUCCCACCGCAAGGACUGGAGAAGGGGUCUUCCUCUGCCACCCAGGCUGGAGUGUGCAGCAGCAUGACCGUGGCUUACUGCAGCUUCAACCUCUCAGGAUUAGGUAAACCUCAGGUUCUCCUCCUGCCUUUUGCUAAGUAUAUGUCUUGAUGACAAGCCUUCUGCUGAUGAGCUGUGUUUCUGGACCGAUCAUGGUAGAAGUCAAUUAACGUGUCCCUCACUUGGGGUUUCUCAAGGGAGUCUCACUCUGUCGUCCAGGCUGGAGUGCAGUGGCACAAUCUCGGCUCACUGCAAGCUCUGCCUCCCAGGUUCACGCCAUUCUCCUGCCUCAGUCUCCCAAGUAGCUGCACUGAUGAGGAAACUGAAACAGAAAAUCCAGAGUAAAUUCCACCAGGCCACACAGCAAGGUCUGAUAGAGCCAGGAGAGACUUUAUGAAAUCCAGACUCUCACACUAAUGCUCUAUCAGCUAGACCUCCAUGUGAGUCUCCCCAAUGUAGGUAGGAAGUGCUUUCCCUAAAAUGCUCAUAAAGCAAAUCAGAGCAAUGCUGCAUUCCAUGUGAUUUCUAAUUUGAAAUGCAAACAAUUGCCAAUUUGUUUGACUUGUAUUUAUAAUUAUUUCCUUGUGAAUUACUCAUCACUAAAUGCUUUAUAAAUAUUU
rnacentral:lncRNA from 10 species